GAUGAGACCUUGGCUUCUUAGAAAGGGCUAUAGGGCCAUUAUCUUUAUAGUAUAGUGUCAUGGCAUCUCAUGGCAUGACAUCUAGUUCUACAACUAACAAAAAGAACUAGAAUGCAUCCUAUAUAUCUACAGUAUACUCAGGCUUCAUUGAUCGAUUAUUUUGGAAUCCUUCCAACAUAUCGAACCAAUAAUUCAGGUGCUCCUCCAA
rnacentral:lncRNA from 1 species